rfam:Drosophila persimilis strain MSH-3 cont1.011541, whole genome shotgun sequence.
UAGGUGUGAUGAACCAAAAACUUCACCAUCUUUCGACUGAAAAAUCCAUUGAUGCUUGAAAAGUUUUCACUGAUCAUAUG